rnacentral:miRNA from 1 species
UCCUCUCUUGUCUCCUGGCAG